UAGCUAGUUGGUAGGGUAAGAGCCUACCAAGGCGACGAUCGGUAGCUGGUCUGAGAGGAUGGCCAGCCACACUGGAACUGAGACACGGUCCAGACUCCUACGGGAGGCAGCAGUGGGGAAUAUUGGACAAUGGGGGCAACCCUGAUCCAGCAAUGCCGCGUGUGUGAAGAAGGCCUGAGGGUUGUAAAGCACUUUCAGUGGGGAGGAGUGUUGAUAGGUUAAGAGCUAAUUAACUGGACGUUACCCACAGAAGAAGCACCGGCUAACUCCGUGCCAGCAGCCGCGGUAAUACGGAGGGUGCGAGCGUUAAUCGGAAUUACUGGGCGUAAAGGGUGCGUAGGUGGUUGUAUAAGUUAUCUGUGAAAUCCCUGGGCUUAACCUGGGCAGGUCAGAUAAUACUGUAUGACUCGAGUAUGGGAGAGGGUAGUGGAAUUUCCGGUGUAGCGGUGAAAUGCGUAGAGAUCGGAAGGAACACCAGUGGCGAAGGCGGCUACCUGGCCUAAUACUGACACUGAGGCACGAAAGCGUGGGGAGCAAACAGGAUUAGAUACCCUGGUAGUCCACGCUGUAAACGAUGUCAACUAGCUGUUGGUUAUAUGAAUAUAAUUAGUGGGGC
rnacentral:rRNA from 1 species